UACAGAGGUGGCAAGCGUUGUUCGGAAUUACUGGGCGUAAAGGGCGCGUAGGCGGCCUUCUAAGUCAGACGUGAAAUCCCCCGGCUUAACCUGGGAACUGCGUCUGAUACUGGGAGGCUUGAGUAUGGGAGAGGGAUGUAGAAUUCCAGGUGUAGCGGUGAAAUGCGUAGAUAUCUGGAGGAAUACCGGUGGCGAAGGCGACUUACUGGACACAUAUUGACGCUGAGGUGCGAAAGCGUGGGGAGCAAACAGG
rnacentral:rRNA from 1 species